UACAUCUGUCAGUGUCUCAAAACGAUUUUCCAAAAAGUUGUUGUUUUUAUCGCAAAAUUGGCACGACUCACCUCUCGCAGGAGUCAUUGGACAGCUUUAUUUGAAACGGACCACGGUGCCCCCAGAGAAUGCAAGUUUUCAUCGCAUUGCACCAUCUUCAGCCAGUGCAUUUCCGACGCGGUAAUAAUUUUCGAGUGCAGCUGAGGAGUUGAGCUUUCCACGCAGCGUUUCUGUUUACACAAUCUUCCUUACGAAAUUACACCGAUCGCUCGACGGCCUCAGAAGAGCUCAAUCUUCAACGCUUGAUUCUGGUGGAACUUCUACUUAUGCGGUCAAGCUGGCCAAGAUCAGGACGAAUUUGCGAACACCGAGAUUUUUACCCAAACGACCGUGUCGAAGAAAUACCGCAAGAUCAGUUUCAGGAAAACACGAAAUCCGUCUCCCAGCCUGGAGUUCCACAUCCUGGUACAUUGUGUCCGUGUUCCUAUUAAUAUGAAUCGUAUCAAAUUCUAAAAGAUUGUAAUGAUGCUUGUUUAAAUAAUUGCAUACAAUUUUUUUUUUAUUAAGA